rnacentral:rRNA from 1 species
CUUACAAGCUGUGGAAGCACAUUUCUUGUGUGACCGCGUACUUUUUGUAGAACGGGCCAACGAGUUACGUUAAGUAGCAAGGUUAAGCACUUAAGGUGCGGAGCCGUAGCGAAAGCGAGUUUUAACUGAGCGUUCAGUUACUUGACGUAGACCCGAAACCGGGCGACCUACCCAUGAGCAGGAUGAAGCGAAAGUAAAAUUUCGUGGAGGUCCGAACCCACGAGCGUUGAAAAGCUCGGGGAUGACUUGUGGGUAGCGGUGAAAUUCCAAUCGAGCCCGGAGAUAGCUGGUUCUCCCCGAAAUAGCUUUAGGGCUAGCCUCAAGGUGAGAGAUACGGAGGUAGAGCACUGAAUGUCCUAGGGGGUAUUGCACCUACCGAAGACUAUCAAACUCCGAAUGCCGUCAUCUUAUACUUGGGAGUCAGACUGUGGGUGAUAAGAUUCAUAGUCGAAAGGGCAACAGCCCAGAUCGUCAGCUAAGGUCCCUAAAUGUAAGUUAAGUGGUAAAGGAUGUGGGAUUGCACAGACAACCAGGAUGUUGGCUUAGAAGCAGCCACUCAUUCAAAGAGUGCGUAAUAGCUCACUGGUCGAGUGAUCCUGCGCCGAAGAUUUCCGGGGCUAAAACUUACUACCGAAGCUACGGCAUCAGUAAUGAUGGGUAGGGGAGCUUCCCAUACGGGUUGAAGCAUGACCGUAAGGACAUGUGGACAGUAUGGGAGUGAGAAUGUUGGCAUGAGUAGCGAGAUGUGGGUGAGAAUCCCACAGGCCGUAAACCCAAGGUUUCCAGGGGAAGGUUCGUCCGCCCUGGGUUAGUCGGGACCUAAGCUGAGGCCGAAAGGCGUAGGUGAUGGACAACAGGUUGAUAUUCCUGUACUACCGAUAACCGUUUGAGAGAAGGGAUGACACAGUAGGAUAAGCUAAGCACACUGUUGGUUAUGUGUGCCCAAGCAUUGAGGCAGUCAAAGUAGGCAAAUCCGCUUUGAUAAUGCUGGGAUGUGAUGGGGAGCGAAAUUUAGUAGCGAAGUAGCUGAUUUCACACUGUCAAGAAAAGUCUCUAUCGAGGUUAAAGGUACCCGUACCGCAAACCGACACAGGUGGGUGAGGAGAGUAUCCUAAGGCCAGCGAGAGAACUGUUGUUAAGGAACUCGGCAAAAUGACCCCGUAACUUAGGGAUAAGGGGUGCCACCAUCAGGUGGCCGCAGAGAAUAGGCCCAAGCGACUGUUUACCAAAAACAUAGGUUUCUGCUAAGUCGCAAGACGAUGUAUAGGAGCUGACGCCUGCCCGGUGCUGGAAGGUUAAGGGGAUCUGUUAGAGCAAUCGAAGCAGUGAACUUAAGCCCCAGUAAACGGCGGCCGUAACUAUAACGGUCCUAAGGUAGCGAAAUUCCUUGUCGGGUAAGUUCCGACCCGCACGAAAGGCGUAACGAUUUGGGCACUGUCUCAACAACAGACUCGGUGAAAUUGUAAUUCCGGUGAAGAUGCCGGAUACCUGCGACAGGACGGAAAGACCCCAUGGAGCUUUACUGUAGCUUGACAUUGGGUCUUGGUACUACAUGUACAGGAUAGGUGGGAGGCUUUGAAACCAGGACGCCAGUUUUGGCGGAGCCAUCCUUGGGAUACCACCCUUGUAGUACUGGGACUCUAACCAUAGGCCAUGAAUCUGGUCUUGGGACACUGUCAGGUGGGCAGUUUGACUGGGGCGGUCGCCUCCCAAAAGGUAACGGAGGCGCUCAAAGGUUCUCUCAGUACGGUCGGAAAUCGUACGUAGAGUGUAAAGGCAAAAGAGAGCUUGAUUGCAAGACAUACAGGUCGAGCAAGGAUGAAAAUCGGACUUAGUGAUCCGGUGGUUCUGCGUGGAAGGGCCAUCGCUCAACGGAUAAAAGCUACCCUGGGGAUAACAGGCUUAUCUCCCCCAAGAGUCCACAUCGACGGGGAGGUUUGGCACCUCGAUGUCGGCUCAUCACAUCCUGGGGCUGUAGUAGGUCCCAAGGGUUGGGCUGUUCGCCCAUUAAAGUGGUACGCGAGCUGGGUUCAGAACGUCGUGAGACAGUUCGGUCCCUA